CAAUAGCGUAUAUUAAAGUUGUUGCAGUUAAAAGCUCGUAGUUGGAUUUCUGGUGGGAGCGAUCGGUCUGGCGCUUAGCGCGAGUACUUGCAUCGUCUCCGGCCAUCCUUGGGGAGAGUCUGUCUGGCAUUAAGUUGUCGGGCAGAGGAUCCUCAUCGUUUACUGUGAAAAAAAUUAGAGUGUUCAAAGCAGGCUUAUGCCGUUGAAUAUAUUAGCAUGGAAUAAUAAGAUAGGACUUUGGUACUAUUUUGUUGGUUUGCGCACCAAAGUAAUGAUUAAUAGGGACAGUUGGGGGUAUUCGUAUUCCGUUGUCAGAGGUGAAAUUCUUGGAUUUACGGAAGACGAACUACUGCGAAAGCAUUUACCAAGGAUGUUUUCAUUAA
rnacentral:rRNA from 1 species